AUUGAACGCUGGCGGCAGGCUUAACACAUGCAAGUCGAGCGAGCGGCGGACGGGUGAGUAAUGUCUGGGAAACUGCCUGAUGGAGGGGGAUAACUACUGGAAACGGUAGCUAAUACCGCAUACCACAGAUGUUGCCCAGAUGGGAUUAGCUAGUAGGUGGGGAAAUGGCUCACCUAGGCGACGAUCCCUAGCUGGUCUGAGAGGAUGACCAGCCACACUGGAACUGAGACACGGUCCAGACUCCUACGGGAGGCAGCAGUGGGGAAUAUUGCACAAUGGGCGCAAGCCUGAUGCAGCCAUGCCGCGUGUGUGAAGAAGGCCUUCGGGUUGUAAAGCACUUUCAGCGAGGAGGCGUUACUCGCAGAAGAAGCACCGGCUAACUCCGUGCCAGCAGCAGCGGUAAUUC
rnacentral:rRNA from 1 species